AUUGAACGCUGGCGGCAGGCUUAACACAUGCAAGUCGAGCGGGGAAGGGUAGCUUGCUACCUAACCUAGCGGCGGACGGGUGAGUAAUGCUUAGGAAUCUGCCAUUUAGUGGGGGACAACAUUCCGAAAGGAAUGCUAAUACCGCACACGUCCUACGGGAGAAAGCAGGGGAUCUUCGGACCUUGCGCUAAAUGAUGAGCCUAAGUCGGAUUAGCUAGUUGGUGGGGUAAAGGCCAACCAAGGCGACGAUCUGUAGCGGGUCUGAGAGGAUGAUCCGCCACACUGGGACUGAGACACGGCCCAGACUCCUACGGGAGGCAGCAGUGGGGAAUAUUGGACAAUGGGCGGAAGCCUGAUCCAGCCAUGCCGCGUGUGUGAAGAAGGCCUUAUGGUUGUAAAGCACUUUAAGCGAGGAGGAGGCUACUUAGAUUAAUACUCUAGGAUAGUGGACGUUACUCGCAGAAUAAGCACCGGCUAACUCUGUGCCAGCCGCCGCGGUAA
rnacentral:rRNA from 1 species